rnacentral:rRNA from 1 species
GAGCUUGCUCUCAAAAGUUAGCGGCGGACGGGUGAGUAACACGUGGGCAACCUGCCUAUAAGACUGGGAUAACUUCGGGAAACCGGAGCUAAUACCGGAUAAUUCUUUUCUACACAUGUAGGAAAGCUGAAAGACGGUUUACGCUGUCACUUAUAGAUGGGCCCGCGGCGCAUUAGCUAGUUGGUGAGGUAACGGCUCACCAAGGCAACGAUGCGUAGCCGACCUGAGAGGGUGAUCGGCCACACUGGGACUGAGACACGGCCCAGACUCCUACGGGAGGCAGCAGUAGGGAAUCUUCCGCAAUGGACGAAAGUCUGACGGAGCAACGCCGCGUGAGUGAUGAAGGUUUUCGGAUCGUAAAACUCUGUUGUUAGGGAAGAACAAGUACGAGAGUAACUGCUCGUACCUUGACGGUACCUAACCAGAAAGCCACGGCUAACUACGUGCCAGCAGCCGCGGUAAUACGUAGGUGGCAAGCGUUGUCCGGAAUUAUUGGGCGUAAAGCGCGCGCAGGCGGUCCUUUAAGUCUGAUGUGAAAGCCCACGGCUCAACCGUGGAGGGUCAUUGGAAACUGGGGGACUUGAGUACAGAAGAGAAGAGUGGAAUUCCACGUGUAGCGGUGAAAUGCGUAGAGAUGUGGAGGAACACCAGUGGCGAAGG